rfam:Myotis davidii contig68059, whole genome shotgun sequence.
GGCGGUUCUUGGGCGAGGUACCCCAGAAUAGGGCUCCCUCCUUUCUGGUUCUGGGUAGGUCACCUGAGAACUGCA